rnacentral:rRNA from 1 species
AUUGAACGCUAGCGGGAUGCUUUACACAUGCAAGUCGAACGAGUGGCGGACGGGUGAGUAAUAUAUCGGAACGUGCCCAGUAGCGGGGGAUAACUAAUCGAAAGAGUGACUAAUACCGCAUACAAUUAGAGCGGCCGAGAUGUGAUUAGCUAGUUGGUUGGGUAAAGGCUAACAAAGGCAACGAUCCGUAGCUGGUUUGAGAGGAAGACAAUCCACACGGGGACUGAGAAACGGCCCAUACUCCCACGGGAGGCAGCAGGGGGGAAUUUUGGACAAUGGGGGAAACCCUGAUCCAGCCAUCCCGCGUGUAUGAGAAGGCCUUCGGGUUGUAAAGGACUUUUGGCAGAGAAGCGGUAUCUGCAGAAUAAGCACCGGCUAACUACGUGCCAGCAGCCGCGGUAAUAC